rnacentral:siRNA from 1 species
AUCGCAUAUGAUUUGUUGAAUGGC